rnacentral:misc_RNA from 1 species
AGACAACCAUCAACGCUCCCUUGACCUGUCCGGACAAGCUUUUGAUGAAGCAUUUGCAGAAUUCCAGCAAUUCAAAGCUGCUGCUUUUGCAGAGAAGAAUCGUGGCAGGUUGAUCGGCGGCUUGCCUGACGUGGUGACCAUCAUGGAAGGGAAGUUUUCCAGCUUUAUUCUUUUUGUUUGAGAAGCAGCAAUGUUCCUUCCAGCUUUCUGCACCCUGGGUAGAAGCCGGAAGCUCCCCAAGCAGCAGACUCGCAUGCCCAUAGGUGAUGUCUGUGACGCGCCACAUCCAAACGAAGAGAUAUCGUUGGAAGACUUGAAUCUAGCUGGAAGGCCAAUGUUCUUUUCAAUGUAAUGCCAAAGAAAAUUCACACUUGUUUGUUCUGUAGAAAAAAGUGACAUAAUAUUAUUUUUAUUUUUAAAUUUACUUAUAGUCAUAUGUGCAUGCCUGCUCAAAAAUGCUCACCCAUCAUUUGCAUAAGUAAAUCAGUUUGUAUUUAAUGUUACAGUUUAAGACUCAUGUUUCAGAAAUACAAUUUUUAUUAACUGAA